AACGUGGGUCUCUCCCAGAUUCCAAUUUUUUGUUGACUUCUUCUACGUUUAUGUGCUGCCGCAAUAUAUAAGAUAUAAAUAAAAAUGAAAAUGAGAAAAAAGGAAAAUGAGAAUAGUAUACAAAUUAUUACCGAAAAGUUCGGGCACAUGUGGCUUAAUUAUUUUGAUAUAGUUCUGACCAUUUUUCUCAUGUUCUUUUGUUUUUAUAGGACGAAGUUUUGUACUAUAACCAUAGAGAUGUAUGAUCAUAAUUUUUCAGUUUGUUGUAGCAACGUGUCUUCCAUGACGAUAACGUUAAAAUAUUUAGAAGCAAACGAUUUAUAUAUAAACAUAUUGCUUAUGUUGUUUGAGCAGAGAUGAAAUAAUAUCGACGUAUUGGAAAAAUAUUCUUAUACUUGAAGAAAAUAGAUGAUAUGAUAAGCCUGGAAUGCAAAGGAGUUUCGUUCUUCCGCCAGACGUGGUUGCCAAAUAUUUGACUCAAAAUAUCAUUCUACAUAAAUAAUGUCAAAUAAG